UACGUAGGGUGCAAGCGUUGUCCGGAAUUAUUGGGCGUAAAGAGCUCGUAGGCGGUUUGUUGCGUCGGCUGUGAAAUCCCGAGGCUCAACCUCGGGUCUGCAGUCGAUACGAGCAAACUAGAGUGUUGCAGGGGGAGACUGGAAUUCCUGGUGUAGCGGUGAAAUGCGCAGAUAUCAGGAGGAACACCGAUGGCGAAGGCAGCCCCCUGGGCCGAUACUGACGCUGAGGAGCGAAAGCCAGGGGGAGCAAACGGG
rnacentral:rRNA from 1 species